rnacentral:tRNA from 1 species
CAUGGUUUAGUAUAAGCUAAGUAUAUCAGCUUUGGGAGUUGAUGGUUCCAAAAUGGAAGCCUUGA